UACGUAGGUGGCAAGCGUUUGUCCGGAUUUACUGGGCGUAAAGGGCGUGCAGGCGGUCUGUUAAGUGCAGGGUGAAAGCUCCCGGCUCAACUGGGAGAGGUCCUUGCAUACUGGCGGACUUGAGGGGGGUAGAGGAAAGUGGAAUUCCCGGUGUAGUGGUGAUAUGCGUAGAUAUCGGGAGGAACACCUGUGGCGAAGGCGGCUUUCUGGGCCCUACCUGACGCUGAGACGCGAAAGCGUGGGGAGCGAACCGG
rnacentral:rRNA from 1 species